GAGGGUACAGCGCACAUCGGAUUUGCUUCUGGAGGCCGUGAAAGGGCGGGAAGAGGUCAAGACCUGUAGAAGGGAGGCCCGCGGUGGCGGUCACCCCAGUGAGGGGCCCCGGGACCAGGGGUCUGGGAAGCAGGGAAGGGCUCCGGAUGGGGAACGGGGGUGAAGGCCGGUGGCGGGCAGGGCGCCCUCUUCGCGUCUCUGGUUGGGUAAGUGGGGGAAGGAGGACUUCAGAGUGGCGUCGGGAAUAUUUAGCAAAGACCAGGUUUGGGCGGUGCCGCUCUAACGAGUGCAGGCUCGGACAGCUGAUUCUGAGAUGAUGUGGGAUUUUUUUUCUUUCUUUUUUUUAGCGUCGAUAAGAUUUGAGAGGCAUCAGCGUUCAGAGAUAGCAAGAGCAAUGCCUUAAAAGUGGCUAAUACCGUACAGGCUCACUUGUGAACACCGCGCCUGUUCAUCAGCUCGAGUGAUCUCCUGAGAACCCCAAAUACGGAAGCCCUAUUAUCACUGCUAUUUUAAAGAUGAGGAAACUGAGGCAGAGGUUUUCAAAUAACUCGCCUACGGUGCCACAGCUAGAAAGCGGUAGAGAGCAGUCUGGCAGCCGACAUGAAUAAUGGCUAUUGGUCGUGACGUUAUAGCGGAGGUUGAAUGUGUGGGAGCAAAAGGGAUUCCUGAGAGCAAGGAUCCGGAAGAGGAGGAGGAGGAAGAGGAUGGACACUUGCAGAAUACCCGUGCUACGUGCACGUCUCCAUGGGGUGCAAAGGUGAAAAUACCAGAGUCCUCCUCCGGGCGUUUGGAAUCAAGUUUGGGAGCUUGCAAUAUCUGACUCCUAAUGAGCCAUAGAAAUAUCGUUGAAUUAUUUCUCCACACUGCUAAUCAUUAGGCUGAGGCGGACAAAACUAUUACAUGUGAAGAUGUUUAAAUUGUCUCUCUAAAUUAAGAUAAACACACCCGGAAUUCACAGGAGAGAGAUGUAGCACAGGGCAUUAAAUGCCCAGAAAUGCCAAGGGCAUUCUAAUUUUAGAUUAAAGAACCCAGUGUCCCGCUCGGGUGGGGUUGGAAUGUCCUCCGUGGGAGCCAGCGGGCCCCAGCUUCCCCGACCUUCCCCCCCCCCCCACCUCGCCCCACACCUGGGCCAAAGAGUUUGGGUCGGGUAAAAC
rnacentral:lncRNA from 1 species